rnacentral:rRNA from 1 species
UACACUCCUACGGGAGGCAGCAGUGGGGAAUAUUGCACAAUGGGCGCAAGCCUGAUGCAGCCAUGCCGCGUGUAUGAAGAAGGCCUUCGGGUUGUAAAGUACUUUCAGCGGGGAGGAAGGCGAUAAGGUUAAUAACCUUGUUGAUUGACGUUACCCGCAGAAGAAGCACCGGCUAACUCCGUGCCAGCAGCCGCGGUAAUACGGAGGGUGCAAGCGUUAAUCGGAAUUACCGGGCGUAAAGCGCACGCAGGCGGUCUGUCAAGUCGGAUGUGAAAUCCCCGGGCUCAACCUGGGAACUGCAUUCGAAACUGGCAGGCUAGAGUCUUGUAGAGGGGGGUAGAAUUCCAGGUGUAGCGGUGAAAUGCGUAGAGAUCUGGAGGAAUACCGGUGGCGAAGGCGGCCCCCUGGACAAAGACUGACGCUCAGGUGCGAAAGCGUGGGGAGCAAACAGGAUUAGAAACCCUAGUAGUCCCAUGAU